UACUACCCCUUUUAUGAAUGGCAUUAGUUCAAGAUAUUAUUGUAUCUAAUUUAAAAUUGUUUGAAUUCAAAAUUCAAUUGUAAAUUUCGUCUAAAAUUUGUUCGGUAUUUCUCGGUAACCGUGGUUACCGGGAAUAUCGCCCACCCACGAGAAAAUUUGGUUGAUACACCCUUGACACAAACCUCUUCACGUGCUACCCGGCCCGGCCACUGAGAGAAUGCAGUUCUGGAGCCGUCUUGCGGCGGCGCAGCCUAUUGUGUUCAAUGAACAAGCCAUAGUCGACAACCUUACUGAAGAUAACCUGACAAGCAUUUUUGCUAGCAGAAAGACAUGGAGGGACAAACAGGUGUACUUAGUCCAUGCUCAGGGCAUUGGUACGCUGGUUGCCAAGAAGUUCCAGAACGAGAACCCAGCACUGCAAGUGGACGAAAAUGUCAAGAACCGCUGCAAGUCGGAGAUGAACCUCUUAGCCAACAUCUGUCAUGACAACAUCAUCAAAGUCGUAGACCACAUUCGAAGGGAAGACGCGAUCAUGCUCGUUUACAGAUAUCCGGUGAACGGCAGCCUUCAAUCUUGGCUGCACCAACCGAUGGGUGCUGCUCAGCCGCUGAGCUGGCCAAAGAGGAGCAUCAUCGCCACUGGCGUGGCACAAGGGCUCUCCCACUUGCACCACGGAUGCAAUAAGCCUGUUGUCCACCACAACAUCAGCCCUAACAACAUCUUGCUUGAUCAUACUUUCAAGCCUGUGAUAGCCGGUUUUGAUGAUGCACAGAUGAACAUGGCCAGGCUCGGCCAACCGUUACCAAUCACUGAUCUGCCUCCUGGUAACUUUGGGUACGCAGCUCCAGAAUAUGGGAACACGACAAACCCUAUGACGGAGAAGGUAGACACUUACAGCUAUGGUGUGCUGCUGCUGGUGAUUGUCACGGGGCAGGAGUCCAGUGGAGCUGGAGCAGAUGGUCAUUUGGCGAAUUGGGCCAGGAACAACUUCAUUGAGCUGAUGGCAAACCAACAGGAAGCGUUCCAGAAUGCUGUGGACAGGGACAUCCCAGAUCAAGCGAUGUCAUGGUGGAGAUGGCAACGGUGUUCAGGCUGGGCGUGGAUUGCACCGCUGUGGAUCCCAAGCAAAGGCCUUCCAUGCGGAUGGCUCUCAAACGACUCCGUCGCGGCUGUGGGCAUAGCCCAUUCCGUGGCCUCCUCACCUGCUAUCUGCCAUGAUGCUCGUUGUCUUUUUUGGAAAGAUCAUGUCAUGCAUGAAUGGGUCUCAUUUGUUUAGGUUAAUCUGUUUAUCUGUCUUGUUUGGGCUGCAACUGUAUAAGCAUAGUUUAGGUUAAUUGGGUCUAAUUUCUUGCGAUUCACAAAUCACAGCCUGUGCUAUCAGCAACCAAGCCUAGUUAUCAGGGUCACACAACUUCUAUAAUAGCUUGGAAUUAUUUGCAUUUCGAUUCA